rnacentral:ncRNA from 1 species
AUAAUACAAUAUUAGAUAUAGAUACGCUAUACACUGCUAAGGAUAUCUAAACUGUAUUAUAAUCCACGUGGUAGAGGCAUAGUUAGGUUCGCUGUGAGUGCAACUCUAAGUAGCAACCAACCUAAGCAAGCAAUGGGAAUAACAGAACCAUUAACUAAGAAAAAUGUAUGGAGCUUGACAGUCUGACACUAACUGAACAAUAAGUGUCA